rnacentral:rRNA from 1 species
CAAAGGAGCAAUCCGCUGAAAGAUGGGCUCGCGUCCGAUUAGAUAGUUGGGGGGGUAACGGCCCACCAAGUCGACGAUCGGUAGCCGGACUGAGAGGUUGAACGGCCACAUUGGGACUGAGACACGGCCCAGACUCCUACGGGAGGCAGCAGUGAGGGAUAUUGGUCAAUGGGGGAAACCCUGAACCAGCAACGCCGCGUGAGGGAAGACGGUUUUCGGAUUGUAAACCUCUGUCCUCUGUGAAGAUAAUGACGGUAGCAGAGGAGGAAGCUCCGGCUAACUACGUGCCAGCAGCCGCGGUAAUACGUAGGGAGCGAGCGUUGUCCGGAUUUACUGGGUGUAAAGGGUGCGUAGGCGGGUAAGCAAGUCAGAAGUGAAAUCCAUGGGCUUAACCCAUGAACUGCUUUUGAAACUGUUUAUCUUGAGUGAAGUAGAGGUAGGCGGAAUUCCCGGUGUAGCGGUGAAAUGCGUAGAGAUCGGGAGGAACACCAGUGGCGAAGGCGGCCUACUGGGCUUUAACUGACGCUGAAGCACGAAAGCGUGGGUAGCAAACAGGAUUAGAUACCCUGGUAGUCCAUGCCGUAAACGAUGAUUACUAGGUGUGGGGGGACUGACCCCCUCC